UCCAGGAGGAACACCCUUCAGCGAGUGA
rnacentral:sRNA from 1 species